rnacentral:rRNA from 1 species
UACGUAGGGUGCAAGCGUUGUCCGGAAUUAUUGGGCGUAAAGAGCUCGUAGGCGGUCUGUCGCGUCGGCUGUGAAAUCCCGAGGCUCAACCUCGGGUCUGCAGUCGAUACGGGCAAACUGGAGUGUUGCAGGGGAGACUGGAAUUCCUGGUGUAGCGGUGAAAUGCGCAGAUAUCAGGAGGAACACCGGUGGCGAAGGCGGGUCUCUGGGCAACAACUGACGCUGAGGAGCGAAAGCGUGGGUAGCAAACAGG